rnacentral:tRNA from 1 species
UGCCCCGUCGUCUAAUGGUAGGACAUCAAGCUUUGGACUUGAAUACUGAGGUUCGAAUCCUUGCGGGGCAA